CUUACAUCUCUUCGGAGCAUUUUACGAGGUGCUGCAUGGUUGUCGUCAGCUCGUGCCGUGAGGUGUCGGGUUAAGGUCCCAUAACGAGCGCAACCCUACCCUUUAGUUGCCAUCAGGUAAUGCUGGGGACGUCUAAAGGAACUGCCUACGCAAGUAGUGAGGAAGGCGGGGAUGACGUCAAAUCAGCACGGCCCUUACGUCCAGGGCUACACACGUGCUACAAUGGCCGAUACAGAGGGCAGCUACCUGGUGACAGGAUGCAAAUCUCCAAAGUCGGUCUCAGUUCGGAUCGGAGUCUGCAACCCGACUCCGUGAAGUUGGAUUCGCUAGUAAUCGCGCAUCAGCCAUGGCGCGGUGAAUACGUUCCCGGGCCUU
rnacentral:rRNA from 1 species